UAACCUACCUCAUAGUGGGGGAUAACAGUCGGAAACGACUGCUAAUACCGCAUAGGACAUAGGAUCACAUGAUCCAGUGAGGAAAGGUGGUGCAAGCUAUCGCUAAGAGAUGGACCCGCGGUGCAUUAGCUAGUUGGUAGGGUAACGGCCUACCAAGGCGAUGAUGCAUAGCCGACCUGAGAGGGUGAUCGGCCACAUUGGGACUGAGACACGGCCCAA
rnacentral:rRNA from 1 species